rfam:Nomascus leucogenys chromosome 7b, whole genome shotgun sequence.
GCCGGGCGUGGUGGCACGUGCCUGUAAUCCCAGCUACUUGGGAGGCUGAGGCAGGAGAAUCGCUUGAACCCGGGAGGCGGAAGUUGCAGUGAGCCAAUAUCACGCCACUGCACUUUUUUUUUUUUUUUUGAGAUGGAAUCCCGCUCUGUGGCCAGGCUAGAGUGCAGUGGCGCGAUCUCGGCUCACUGCAACCUCCACCUCCCGAGUUCAAGUGAUUCUCCUGCCUCAG